UUAAAUUGAAGAGUUUGAUCAUGGCUCAGAUUGAACGCUGGCGGCAGGCCUAACACAUGCAAGUCGAACGGUAACAGGAAGCAGCUUGCUGCUUUGCUGACGAGUGGCGGACGGGUGAGUAAUGUCUGGGAAACUGCCUGAUGGAGGGGGAUAACUACUGGAAACGGUGGCUAAUACCGCAUAACGUCGCAAGACCAAAGAGGGGGACCUUCGGGCCUCUUGCCAUCAGAUGUGCCCAGAUGGGAUUAGCUUGUUGGUGAGGUAACGGCUCACCAAGGCGACGAUCCCUAGCUGGUCUGAGAGGAUGACCAGCCACACUGGAACUGAGACACGGUCCAGACUCCUACGGGAGGCAGCAGUGGGGAAUAUUGCACAAUGGGCGCAAGCCUGAUGCAGCCAUGCCGCGUGUAUGAAGAAGGCCUUCGGGUUGUAAAGUACUUUCAGCGGGGAGGAAGGUGUUGUGGUUAAUAACCGCAGCAAUUGACGUUACCCGCAGAAGAAGCACCGGCUAACUCCGUGCCAGCAGCCGCGGUAAUACGGAGGGUGCAAGCGUUAAUCGGAAUUACUGGGCGUAAAGCGCACGCAGGCGGUCUGUCAAGUCGGAUGUGAAAUCCCCGGGCUCAACCUGGGAACUGCAUUCGAAACUGGCAGGCUUGAGUCUUGUAGAGGGGGGUAGAAUUCCAGGUGUAGCGGUGAAAUGCGUAGAGAUCUGGAGGAAUACCGGUGGCGAAGGCGGCCCCCUGGACAAAGACUGACGCUCAGGUGCGAAAGCGUGGGGAGCAAACAGGAUUAGAUACCCUGGUAGUCCACGCCGUAAACGAUGUCUACUUGGAGGUUGUGCCCUUGAGGCGUGGCUUCCGGAGCUAACGCGUUAAGUAGACCGCCUGGGGAGUACGGCCGCAAGGUUAAAACUCAAAUGAAUUGACGGGGGCCCGCACAAGCGGUGGAGCAUGUGGUUUAAUUCGAUGCAACGCGAAGAACCUUACCUGGUCUUGACAUCCACGGAACUUUCCAGAGAUGGAUUGGUGCCUUCGGGAACCGUGAGACAGGUGCUGCAUGGCUGUCGUCAGCUCGUGUUGUGAAAUGUUGGGUUAAGUCCCGCAACGAGCGCAACCCUUAUCCUUUGUUGCCAGCGGUCCGGCCGGGAACUCAAAGGAGACUGCCAGUGAUAAACUGGAGGAAGGUGGGGAUGACGUCAAGUCAUCAUGGCCCUUACGACCAGGGCUACACACGUGCUACAAUGGCGCAUACAAAGAGAAGCGACCUCGCGAGAGCAAGCGGACCUCAUAAAGUGCGUCGUAGUCCGGAUUGGAGUCUGCAACUCGACUCCAUGAAGUCGGAAUCGCUAGUAAUCGUGGAUCAGAAUGCCACGGUGAAUACGUUCCCGGGCCUUGUACACACCGCCCGUCACACCAUGGGAGUGGGUUGCAAAAGAAGUAGGUAGCUUAACCUUCGGGAGGGCGCUUACCACUUUGUGAUUCAUGACUGGGGUGAAGUCGUAACAAGGUAACCGUAGGGGAACCUGCGGUUGGAUCACCUCCUUACCU
rnacentral:rRNA from 1 species